CCUACGGGUGGCAGCAGUGGGGAAUAUUGCACAAUGGGCGAAACCCUGAUGCAGCCAUGCCGCGUGAGUGAGGAAGUCUCUCGGUAUGUAAAGCUCUAUCAGCAGGGAAGAAAAUGACGGUACCUGUAUAAGAAGCCACGGCUAACAACGUGCCAGCAGCCGCGGGCAUACGUAGGGGGCAAGCGUUAUCCGGAUUUAAUGGGUGUAAAGGGAGCGUAGACGGUUAUACAAGUCAGAAGUGAAAACCCAGGGCUCAACCUUGGAACUGCUUUUGAUACUGCCUAGCUAGAGUGGAGGAGAGGUAAGCGGAAUGCCUGGUGUAGCGGUGAAAUGCGUAGAGAUCAGGAGGAACACCGGUGGCGAAGGCGGCUUACUGGAC
rnacentral:rRNA from 1 species